rnacentral:rRNA from 1 species
AGAGUUUGAUCCUGGCUCAGAUUGAACGCUGGCGGCAUGCUUUACACAUGCAAGUCGGACGGCAGCACAGAGAAGCUUGCUUCUUGGGUGGCGAGUGGCGGACGGGUGAGUAAUAUAUCGGAACGUACCGAGUAAUGGGGGAUAACUAAUCGAAAGAUUAGCUAAUACCGCAUAUUCUCUGAGGAGGAAAGCAGGGGGACCUUCGGGCCUUGCGUUAUUCGAGCGGCCGAUAUCUGAUUAGCUAGUUGGUGGGGUAAAGGCCUACCAAGGCGACGAUCA